rnacentral:rRNA from 1 species
GGGAAUCUUCCACAAUGGGCGCAAGCCUGAUGGAGCAACACCGCGUGAGUGAAGAAGGGUUUCGGCUCGUAAAGCUCUGUUGUUAAAGAAGAACACGUAUGAGAGUAACUGUUCAUACGUUGACGGUAUUUAACCAGAAAGUCACGGCUAACUACGUGCCAG